GACGAACGCUGGCGGCGUGCUUAACACAUGCAAGUCGAACGGAAAGGCCCUUCGGGGUACUCGAGUGGCGAACGGGUGAGUAACACGUGGGUGAUCUGCCCUGCACUUUGGGAUAAGCCUGGGAAACUGGGUCUAAUACCGAAUAGGACCACGCGCUUCAUGGUGUGUGGUGGAAAGCUUUUGCGGUGUGGGUUGGGCCCGCGGCCUAUCAGCUUGUUGGUGGGGUAAUGGCCUACCAAGGCGACGACGGGUAGCCGGCCUGAGAGGGUGACCGGCCACACUGGGAAUGAGAUACGGCCCAGACUCCUACGGGAGGCAGCAGUGGGGAAUAUUGCACAAUGGGCGCAAGCCUGAUGCAGCGACGCCGCGUGAGGGAUGACGGCCUUCGGGUUGUAAACCUCUUUCCAUAGGGACGAAGCGCAAGUGACGGUACCUAUAGAAGAAGCACCGGCCAACUACGUG
rnacentral:rRNA from 1 species